UGGAGCAUGUGGUUAAUUCGACGCAACGCGAAGAACCUUACCAGGGCUUGACAUCCCCUGACCGCGUAUGAAAGUACGUUUUCACCCUCGGGUGACAGGGAGACAGGUGGUGCAUGGUUGUCGUCAGCUCGUGUCGUGAGAUGUUGGGUUAAGUCCCGCAACGAGCGCAACCCCUACGUUUAGUUGCUAACGCGUGAAGGCGAGCACUCUAGACGAACUGCCGUUGACAAAACGGAGGAAGGUGGGAUGACGUCAAAUCAUCAUGCCCCUUAUGUUCUGGGCUACACACGUGCUACAAUGGCCGGUACAGACGGACGCAAAGCCGCGAGGUGGAGCAAAUCCUAAAAAGCCGGUCUCAGUUCGGAUUGCAGGCUGCAAUUCGCCUGCAUGAAGUCGGAAUCGCUAGUAAUCGCAGGUCAGCAUACUGCGGUGAAUACGUUCCCGGGCCUU
rnacentral:rRNA from 1 species